UGUAGUGGAGAUUCGUAAUACGGGCUGUAGUUGGAGUCUAGGUAGUAUUCUUAUGUUGGCAGAAGGUGUCUGGAGCUGUGAAGUUACCCUGCAGCACUUUGACUUUUUUCCUAACUUUCUUUCAGAUGCGGAUGGAUCGACCUCCCGGCAGAGCGCCCCGUCCCAGAUGAGGCGAUCCCCCCGAGAAGGAAGUAAAGCCGGAUAGCAGCAGCGAAGGCGAAGCAGGUAGAAGGUGGUCUACUUGCAAGAUAUCCCAGCCCAGGAUGCCAGAGGACAGGUUCCGUGCAGAGAGGCAGAGCCCAAGUUUGCGAUCGGCCGCACCGAAGCCGGCGCGGGGGACGUCUUGAUGUACACAUCCUAUCGAGGAUGGGUCUUGUCCUAUUACGUUACAAAAGGUCUCUGAUGCCUAUUUUCUGAGGAUCUACCAUUUGAUGUUGAGAAGCAGCAGCGAGAAGAUGUCUCGGGGCAUUUUGUUCAGCACAGUGUUUCAAAUAAGGGUUGUGGUCACUGUGUGAGUUAGAGUCUCCUGCUGUGUGUCAGAGCGUGUCUGUCUGUGAGAGUCGGUGGGUCUGGGUGUGCUUGUGUGUGUGUGUGUUGUGCGGUUCUAACCUUGUGUGUAUUGCUUUUGCUUUUCAGGACUUUAAAUUAACUUUUAAAUUUAGAAUAAAAAAUCCCCAGCUGGGGGGGUUUUUUUUUUUUCCCUCCCAGCUGGGGUUUUUUUUCCUCGGUCCCGGCCGGUCUGCGAGGCGACAGUCAUCGCCUAAGUUUGGGCACGGACC